rnacentral:other from 1 species
GAACUCCUAGAAUGUACGUGAUUUUUACUAUUUUGAGCCAACAGAAUUGAUAAGGGAGCUUGGGUUAAUAACUGGCUUACAAGCCUGUAUUAUCAGGAAGUAAAAGAGUGAUUACAGAGCACCCACCUGUUGUUAGAACAGGUUCAAAAUCAAUAAGGGCACGGCAUUAGUGGGAUUCUU